GCAAGUCGAACGCGAACGUCUUCUUCGGAAGACUAGUAGAGUGGCGCACGGGUGAGUAACGCGUAAGUAAUCUACCCUGGCAUCUGGGAUAACAAUUCGAAAGGAUUGCUAAUACCGGAUACGCUGGUAACAGGAAAGGUGGCCUCUGUUUCAUGCUACUGUGCCGGGAGGAGCUUGCGUACCAUUAGCUAGUUGGUGGGGUAAUGGCCUACCAAGGCAACGAUGGUUAGCGGGUCUGAGAGGAUGAUC
rnacentral:rRNA from 1 species